AUGAACACCUUUAAGGAGAUUUUGCUAAGGUAUGAGAGGGCGUCGGGGCAGAAGGUUAAUCUUCAGAAAUCCUCCAUUUAUUUUGGGAAGGGCUGUAGGGAUGAUUUGAAGGAAGAGCUCAAAGGGGAAAUUGGCAUCUCCUCUAAGGCUUUGAGCGAGAGAUAUCUUGGGCUACCUACUCAAGUGGGCAGAUCUAAAGAGGGCACUUUCAAGUAUGUUACUGAGAGCUCGAAGGGAAAAGUUACUGGUUGGAAGGGACAAGGGAUGUCUAUGAAAGCUAGAGAAGUUCUUGUCAAAUCGGGGCUCCAAGCCAUUCGUACUUUUACCAUGAGUUGUUUCCACCUCACAAAGAAAACGUGUCGAAAUCUGACAUCUAUUUCCUCUAAAUUCUGGUGGGGGGCAAUCAACGGUGAAAGGAAUGUGCAUUGGGUCUCGUGGGAGAAGAUGUGUGCAUCGAAGUAA
rnacentral:rRNA from 1 species